UGGGGAAUAUUGCACAAUGGGCGAAAGCCUGAUGCAGCGACGCCGCGUGAGGGAUGACGGCCUUCGGGUUGUAAACCUCUUUCAGCAGGGAAGAAGCGAAAGUGACGGUACCUGCAGAAGAAGCGCCGGCUAACUACGUGCCAGCAGCCGCGGUAAUACGUAGGGCGCAAGCGUUGUCCGGAAUUAUUGGGCGUAAAGAGCUCGUAGGCGGUUAGUCGCGUCUGCUGUGAAAACUCGAGGCUCAACCUCGGGCUUGCAGUGGGUACGGGCUGACUAGAGUGCGGUAGGGGUGACUGGAAUUCCUGGUGUAGCGGUGGAAUGCGCAGAUAUCAGGAGGAACACCGAUGGCGAAGGCAGGUCACUGGGCCGCAACUGACGCUGAGGAGCGAAAGCAUGGGGAGCGAACAGGAUUAGAUAGCCCUGGUAGUCCAUGCCGUAAACGUUGGGCGCUAGGUGUGGGUCCAUUCCACGGAUUCCGUGCCGCAGCAAACGCAUUAAGUGCCCCGCCUGGGGAGUACGGCCGCAAGGCUAAAACUCAAAGGAAUUGACGGGGUCAUAGCUGUUUCCU
rnacentral:rRNA from 1 species